UACGUGGGGUGCGAGCGUUAAUCGGAAUUACUGGGCGUAAAGGGCGCGUAGGCGGCGGGGUAAGUCGGGUGUGAAAUCUCAGAGCUCAACUCUGAAACUGCACUCGAUACUGCUCUGCUUGAGGACUGGAGAGGAGACUGGAAUUCACGGUGUAGCAGUGAAAUGCGUAGAUAUCGUGAGGAAGACCAGUGGCGAAGGCGGGUCUCUGGACAGUUCCUGACGCUGAGGCGCGAAGGCCAGGGGAGCAAACGGG
rnacentral:rRNA from 1 species